AUGGCAAUAUAUGCAUGGCGAUAUAUACAUGGCAAUAUAUGCAUGGCGAUAUAUACAUGGCAAUAUAUACAUGGCAAUAUAUACAUGGCGUUAUAUACAUGGUGUUAUAUGCAUGGCGAUAUAUACAUGGCAAUAUAUACAUGGCAAUAUAUACAUGGCGUUAUAUACAUGGUGUUAUAUACAUGGCGAUAUAUACAGAGCAAUAUAUACAUGGCGAUAUAUACAUGGCAAUAUAUACAUGGCGAUAUAUACAUGGCAAUAUAUGCAUGGCAAUAUAUACAUGGCAAUAUAUGCAUGGCGAUAUAUACAUGGCAAUAUAUACAGAGCAAUAUAUACAUGGCGAUAUAUACAUGCCGAUAUAUACAUAGCGAUAUAUGCAUGGCGAUAUAUAAAUGGCAAUAUAUACAUAGCAAUAUAUACAUGGCGAUAUAUGCAAGGCAAUAUAUACAUGGCAAUAUAUACAGAGCAAUAUAUACAUGGCGAUAUAUACAUGGCGAUAUAUACAUGGCAAUAUAUACAUGGCGAUAUAUACAUGGCAAUAUAUACAGAGCAAUAUAUAAAUGGCAAUAUAUACAUGGCGAUAUAUACAUGGCGAUAUAUACAGAGCAAUAUAUACAUGGCAAUAUAUACAGAGCAAUAUAUACAUGGCGAUAUAUACAUGGCGAUAUAUACAUGGCGUUACAUACAUGGCAAUAUAUACAGAGCAAUAUAUACAUGGCGAUAUAUACAUGGCAAUAUAUACAUGGCGAUAUAUACAUGGCAAUAUAUACAUGGCAAUAUAUACAGAGCAAUAUAUGCAUGGCGAUAUAUACAUGGCAAUAUAUACAUGGCAAUAUAUACAUGGCGUUAUAUACAUGGUGUUAUAUACAUGGCGAUAUAUACAGAGCAAUAUAUACAUGGCGAUAUAUACAUGGCAAUAUAUACAUGGCGAUAUAUACAUGGCAAUAUAUGCAUGGCAAUAUAUACAUAGCAAUAUAUACAGAGCAAUAUAUAAAUGGCAAUAUAUACAUGGCCAUAUAUACAUGGCGAUAUAUACAUGGCAAUAUAUACAGAGCAAUAUAUACAUGGCGAUAUAUACAUGCCGAUAUAUACAUGGAGAUAUAUGCAUGGCGAUAUAUAAAUGGCAAUAUAUACAUAGCAAUAUAUACAUGGCGAUAUAUGCAAGGCAAUAUAUACAUGGCAAUAUAUACAGAGCAAUAUAUACAUGGCGAUAUAUACAUGGCAAUAUAUACAUGGCGAUAUAUACAUGGCAAUAUAUACAGAGCAAUAUAUAAAUGGCAAUAUAUACAUGGCGAUAUAUACAUGGCGAUAUAUACAGAGCAAUAUAUACAUGGCAAUAUAUACAGAGCAAUAUAUACAUGGCGAUAUAUACAUGGCGUUACAUAG
rnacentral:lncRNA from 1 species